rnacentral:rRNA from 1 species
AUUGAACGCUGGCGGCAUGCUUUACACAUGCAAGUCGAACGGUAACAGGCUGCCAGGUGCUGACGAGUGGCGAACGGGUGGGUAAUGCAUCGGAACGUGUCCAGCCGUGGGGGAUAACUACUCGCAAGAGUCGCUAAUACCGCAUACGAUCUAUGGCUGAACGCGGGGGACCGUAUGGCCUCGCGCGAUUGGAGCGGCGGAUGUCAGACUAGGUAGUUGGUGGGGUAAAGGCUCACCAAGCCAACGAUCUGUAGCUGGUCUGAGAGGACGACCGGCCACACUGGGACUGAGACACGGCCCAAACGCCUACGGGAGGCAGCAGUGGAGAAGUUUGGACAAUUGGCGCAAGCCUGAUCCAGCAAAGCCGCGAGCAGGAAGAAGGCCUUCGGGUUGUAAACUGCUUUUGUACGGAACGAAACGACACUGGUUAAUACCCGGGGCUAAUGACGGUACCGUAAGAAUAAGCACCGGCUAACUACGUG